UGACGUUAGCGGCGKMAGUUGGUUAGAGCUAACGGCUCAUAACCGUUCGGUCGCAGGUUCGAGUCCUGCAAGGUCCA
rnacentral:tRNA from 1 species